AUGACCCCUUGGGAUGGAUUCGACGUUACAUCCUGGAGGACCGAAGGGACUGCCGCACACCCUUUGGAGAACAGCUGCAUCCUGCCUGGGCUGGCUUGCUCAAUGCCCUCGAGGGCAGUAGAGGUGGUCACAGGACUUGGCAGUUGCAGAAUUCAACCACAGACGUUCACAGUCACGAAGAGAAGAACAGCCACACUGGGAAAGGCUGUCGUGCAGUUCCAGGGUUUGGUCCAUGAGGUAGCUCAAGGCAGAUGCCCAAGAGUAAAAAUCAAACAAGGCCUUUCUUCAGGGGAGCUGAGCCCUGAGUCUGUUACCCACUCGCCUUCCUGGCACCUGCUUGCUACUACCCGAUCUUUCCAUCUGAUACCAAACAAGGAUCAGCACUCAGCAAACUGUUGUUAUCAUGUAAGCUAUUUCAAGAAGAAACAGUGUUUGUGGAAUUACUAAGGAAGAGCGCCACUGCAGUCACCAUGUGAUAGGACACCAGGCAUCCAAAAUGGGGCUUCUGACAAAGAACAGAAAAGAUUUACAGGACUGCCAUAGCGCUACCAGAAGAUAAAACAUCAGAUGUCCAAAAUGAUAAAACAUCGGACGCCCAAGGACAGAACACACACACACACUGCCUCUCACACCUGAGAGUAAAAGCAAAUGGCCCACGAUAUGAACUCUGGUUAUCUACAGUGGUGAACUGAUGGGUGAUUUCACAUACUGUGUUUUUAUCUCUUUUAAAAAUGUUACACAAUGAGGGGCACUUGGGUGGCUCAGUGGAUUAAGCCGCUGCCUUCGGCUCAGGUCAUGGUCUCGGGGUCCUGGGAUCUAGCCCCGCAUUGGACUCUCUGCUCAGCAGGGAGCCUGCUUCCCUCUCUCUCUCUGCCUGCCUCUCCGUCUACUUGUGAUUUCUGUCUGUCAAAUAAAUAAAUAAAAUCUUUAAAAAAAAAAUGUUACACAAUGAACAUCAUUAAACUCAUGACCAGGAAAAAAUAAACAUGCAGUGAAAAAAAAAAAAGAAGAAGAAGAUUCCUAUUCCUGGAAUCAAACCGGAUACUGCCAUGAUACCAAACAAAACACACCAACAUCCUACUGUGGAGAAGCUGGCUUGAAAGGUCCUGGAGGGGGUGCACCUUCCGGUGUGGUUGGCCAGAGCAAAGGAGCCAUUCUGAAGAGGCAGGAGGAGUAGAUGGGAAUGAGUCAGUCAGGGAGGUAUUCCCACAGGAGGUACUUCAGCUAAGUCUUGAAAAAUGGAAAAUACACUGAGAGAGAAAAUAGUGUUUUGCAUUCUAAUCGAGUGAUAACCAGAGGGCUGCAAAGGGGAAAAAAAAAAAGUGUCAAUGACAUGGUAAUGUCCUGGGGCCCUUGCUGCUGGGAAGCAGCAUUAAUUUCAGGAAAAAGGCAGGUACAGGUUUCCUGACAGCUCUUCUGGAAUGGAGAGCUCUGACUCGCCUCCAGGACCCAUGGGAAGAGCAAAGCUCCCCAGAGAAGGACAGAUGUACAAAACGUGCCUUCAAAGGCCACUGUUUGAAAUCCCUGGAAACUCUUAGACCUCUCCAACCUGAGUGCUGGGGGAAACUACAGCAGACAACUGCGUCUUCUCUGUUGCCACCAGCAAUUUA
ensembl:lincRNA